rnacentral:rRNA from 1 species
UACGUAGGGGGCGAGCGUUGUCCGGAAUCAUUGGGCGUAAAGGGCGCGCAGGCGGCUGGCAGAGCCCGGCGUGAAAGCCCCCGGCUCAACCGGGGGAGGUCGUCGGGGACCUGCGAGCUAGAGGCCGGUAGGGGAGAGCGGAAUUCCCGGUGUAGUGGUGGAAUGCGUAGAGAUCGGGAGGAACACCGGUGGCGAAGGCGGCUCUCUGGGCCGGUCCUGACGCUCAGGCGCGAAAGCGUGGGGAGCGAUCCGG